rnacentral:rRNA from 1 species
AGUGAACGCUGGCGGUAGGCCUAACACAUGCAAGUCGAACGGCAGCACAGUAAGAGCUUGCUCUUACGGGUGGCGAGUGGCGGACGGGUGAGGAAUAUAUCGGAAUCUACUUUUUCGUGGGGGAUAACGUAGGGAAACUUACGCUAAUACCGCAUACGCCCUACGGGUGAAAGCAGGGGAUCUUCGGACCUUGCGCGAUUGAAUGAGCCGAUGUCGGAUUAGCUAGUUGGCGGGGUAAAGGCCCACCAAGUCGACGAUCCGUAGCUGGUCUGAGAGGAUGAUCGGCCACACUGGAACGUAGACACGGUCCAUACUCCUACGGGAGGCAGCAGUGGGGAAUAUUGGACAAUGGGCGCAAGCCUGAUCCAGCCAUACCGCGUGGGUGAAGAGGGCCUUCGGGUUGUAAAGCCGUUUUGUUGGGAAAGAAAAGCGGCAGGUUAAUACCCCGCUGUUCUGACGGUACCCAAAGAAGAAGCACCGGCUAACUUCGUG